AGCCACAAUGAUAGAAUUUGUGUUGCAGACAUGACAAAGUAUCAAUAUUAGCAUUUCUUUGCUUUGAAACUUGUACACCAAAUAUUUUAUUGCUGUUCUCUUUUACUUUGAAAUUUGAGUUAUUUGUCCACCAUGCCCUAAUUGAUGUGGAUAUUUGUUUUUGGAAGUCCUGUAGGUCUGAAUGGCAAUAUGACCUGCAUCACAUACUAAUCUUUUGCAUCUAUUAGAUAACAUAUGAUGUCUCAUCAACAUCAACAUAGCCUUUUAGUCCCAAUCAAGUUAGGCUAGGCUAGAGUUGAAACCCAACAAGAAGUCACCAAAAAGAGAGAAAGGGGAGAGGAAAAAGCUUUUGGGAGCACUAAAAGGGAAAAUGCCUAAUCACGGUUCGGGUACAUGGAUAGCUUCUUUCCCAGCACUUCUAUCCAAACACAACUUUAUUGGGAUAUUCUAUUCCUUCAAGUCCCUUUUGAUUGUCUGCUCCCAUGCCAAGUUUGACCGUCCUCUACCUCUCUUCACAUUAUUGUCCCGUCUUAUGAUGCCUCUGUGCUCCGGUGCCUCUAGGGGUCUCCGGUGGACAUGCCCAAACCAUCUCAACCGGGGUUGAUUAAGGGUCUGUUUGGUUGGGUUAUGACUGUGAAAAAAGUUGUUGUAAGCUGUGAGCUAUGAAAAAAAACUGUUGUGGGCUAUUAAAAAACAAAAAACCGUUUGGUAGAAACCACUAAAACUCGCUAAAAAUUCUUCCAUAUAUAUAUUUUCACAGUUCCACCUGAAAGCCACUAAAAGCAGAUCCAGAGGUGCUUUCAGCUUUAAACUGCGAGAAAGUCGGCUUUUAGAAAAAGCUGCUUCCUGGAUCCAGCCCUUUGGUUUGGCUUUUAGGGUUUAGGGUGCCCACAUAUCCAACGCAACAUACACAUAUCUGUGACAUUUAGUUGUUGGAUAUGUCGUCUCUUAGUAGGCCAACACUCAGCCCCAUAUAACCUAGCAGGCCUAAUCGUCGUCCUGUAGAACUUGCCUUUCAACUUCUGUGACACUCUUGUCACAUAGGACUCCUAAUGCUUGACGUCAUUUCGUCCACCCCACUUUGAUCCUAUAGAUAACAUCUUCAUCAAUAUCACCAUCUCUCUAUAGCAUCUAUCCCAAAUAACAAAAGGUGUCCUUCUUUGGUACUACCUGGCCUCCCAAGCUUACAUCUCCAUCCUCACUAAUUAUAGUACCAAAGUCACAUCUCAUAUACUCGGUUUUGGUCCUGCUAAUUCUAAUUCCUUUUGACUCUUGGGUCUGACGCCAUAACUCUAGUUUCUAUUUACUCCUUCCCGACUUUCAUCUACUAGAACUACAUCGUCAGCAAAAAACAUACACCAAGGGAUAUCUCCUUGUAUAUCCCUCGUGACCUCAUCUAUCACUAAGGCAAAUAGAUAAGGGCUCAAAAUUGAACCUUGAUUUAGUCUUAUGUUAAUCGGGAAAACAUUUGUAUCACUAUCAGUUGUUCGGACGCUAGUCACAACCUUGUCAUACAUGUCCUUCAGCCAAAUCAAGCCUCUUCUCAAGAACAGAUUGGUAUUGGAAAUGCAGUCCAAGCUUUUGUUGACAAAGUAACCAGGAAGGUGGAUGGUCUGCUCCCUCCACCACUCCCCCACAGAAGACGAUCCAAGCAACUUCCAUCUGACUUCAUCUCACGCAGAAGCAGUCGCCUGGCAAAGCGAGAUAAUAAAACAAAUGCUGCACGCAGACAGAUUCAAGCUGACCUGAUAAGAAGCCUGGAUGUGCCUUGCGAUGGAGAGUUGUUAAGUCCUAAAGCCCUUGAAGCUUAUGGCAACUUGUUCAAAAACUCACUCUCUGAAGCUCAUAUCAAAGCACUGUCAGCCCUCUUCGGAUGGACAGUCCCAGAUGUUUUUGAACCUGUUAAUGUGUUGUGUAUCGCCGGGCAAGGCCCAGAAGACCUUGAGUAAGGUUGCUGUUCUAGCAGCACCUAGUGGUUUUAUUUGGUUUUUCCAAUGGAUCCUUCAAAGGUUUUGUUUUGGAAUGUAAGGGGUCUGAACAAUAAGCCAAGAAGAGACUCAGUGCGUGUUGUGAUUGAUAACACUAAGCCUGAUAUUGUCUCUUUGCAAGAAACAAAGAAAGCAUCCAUUUCUCGGCAUAUGAUUCUCUCUCUGUUAGGUUCUGAUUUUGAAGAGUAUGUUGUUCUUCCGGCGGCUGGUACGCGGGGGGGAAUUAUUUUGGCUUGGAGGAUUUCGGUCUGCAAGAUGCUCCAAACUAGAAUAGACAAUUUUUCAGUCUCUGCUCAAUUCCAGCAGCAGGAUGGUGUGGCUUGGUGGUUUACGGGUGUUUAUGGUCCCCAACUCGAUGAGCAUAAAAUUCAAUUUCUUAAUGAGCUGCGCCUGAUUCGAUCACAGUGCCUCGGUCCGUGGAUGAUUGGUGGGGACUUCAACCUUAUAUAUAGAGCUGAGGACAAGAGCAAUGACAAUCUUGAUAGAGCUAUUAUGGGAAGGUUUAGGCGGCUGCUUAAUGACUUGCUUCUAAAGGAACUGCCCCUUUCAGGUAGGAAGUUCACCUGGUCCAAUGAACGGGCCUCACCUACUUUGGUUCGCCUGGAUCGGAUUUUCUGUACAGCAGAUUGGGAGGACAUGUUUCCGAAUUGUCUCUUGCAGAGCUCUGCAUCCCAGAUUUCUGAUCAUUGUCCAUUACUGUUGGGGCUACAUGAUCUCGUCCAAGGAAAAAGAAGAUUUCAUUUUGAAAGUUUCUGGAUCAGAUUAGAGGGGUUCAUGGAAGAGGUGGAAAACUCUUGGUCACAACCUCUGGAAGUCUGCUGCCCCUUGCAGUUGCAGCGGUUCCAUGACAAGCUAAAAAGGCUUGCAAGGCACCUUCAAGCCUGGAGUCAGAAAAAAAUGGGCAACAUUAAGCAGCAGAUUCUGAUGGCAAAUGAGAUCCUUCACAGGCUGGAAAUCACUCGUGAUGUAAGGAAUUUGUCUGCCUCUGAGGAAUGGCUACGUCGCUCCCUUAAGCACCACUCUUUGGCUUUAGCCUCCUUGGAAAGAACUGUUGCCCGAGUAAGAUGUGGACUGCACUGGCUGAAAGGAGAUGCCAACACUGCCUAUUUUCAUCACCACGCCAGACACAGGAAAAAGAAAAACUUCAUUGGAAAACUGAUGGUCGAUAACAGAGUAAUUUCUGAGCAGCAGGAAAAGAAAGAGGUAAUCUGGGAUUUCUAUAACAAGUUACUUGGGACAGCAGCCCCCAGGGAGUCAACUUUAAAUCUGGAAGAAUUUCAUCGUCCUGCCCUGGACCUUUCUGCUCUUGAUCAAAAUUUCUCUAUGGAGGAGGUCUGGGCAGCAAUUAAAACUCUCCCUGCUGACAAAGCUCCAGGGCCGGAUGGAUACACCGGAAAAUUUUAUAAAAUAUCUUGGCCAAUCAUCAAAGAGGAUGUUAUGGAGGCGUUAAAUAGGGUGCUACAAGGUGAUGUAUCCAAACUUCAUCUCCUUAACUCAGCUUAUGUGACUCUACUGCCCAAGAAAGCUGAAGCAUUGGAAGUCAAAGAUUUCAGGCCCAUCAGUUUAAUUCACAGCUUUGCAAAAAUUGUUACAAAGAUUCUGGCUAACAGAUUGGCCUCCAGACUUCCUGAGAUAAUGUCAGCAAAUCAAAGCGCUUUUAUAAAAGGAAGAUGCAUCCAUGACAAUUUCAUUUUGGUCCAGCAGACGGCCAAGGCUGUUCAGAAGCAGCGGGUUCCUAGAAUUCUUCUGAAAUUGGAUAUUGGUAAAGCCUUUGAUUCGGUUUCGUGGCCUUUCCUUCUUGAGGUGUUAACGCACCUUGGUUUUGGUUCUGUAUGGUGUAAUAUCAUUUCCAAGAUGCUCCUUUCUUCCUCAACUAGGGUGCUGGUUAAUGGAGAGCCAGGGGAAAUCAUUCAUCACCAUAGGGGGCUAAGGCAGGGGGAUCCUCUAUCCCCAAUGUUAUUUAUUAUUGUUAUGGAUGUGCUGAAUUCUCUUGUUUUAAGAGCCCAAGAAUUGAGUCUUUUACAACCAGUGUUAAGAAGAGGAAAUGGGCAACGUAUCUCUCUAUAUGUUGACGAUGUGGUGAUGUUCUUGCAGCCAAGUAGAGAAGAACUCAGUGUGGUCAAAGAAAUUCUGAGAAUCUUUGGAGAUGCUUCAGGACUUGUUACAAAUGUGAGCAAAUGCAGUAUGACGCCCAUUCACUGUGAGGAACAAGACAUGGUGGCUGCGCAGGAGUUUUUUCCUUGUACUGAGGUGGCUUUUCCAUUCAAAUACCUGGGUUUACCCCUUUCAGUCAAGAAACUCCCCAAAAAUAUUUUUCUAGAACUCAUUGACAAGAUAGCUGAUAAACUAACCGGAUGGAAAUCUGCCCUCAUCCACACAGCAGGCCGGCUGACCUUGGUUAAAUCAGUGCUCACAGCCAUUCCUAUCCAUCACUUAUAGUGCUUCAAUGCCCUAAAUGGGUGAUCAAGGCUAUUGACAAAAUUCGGAGGGGCUUCUUGUGGAAAGGCAGAAAAGAUAUCAGAGGUGGUCACUGCUCUGUUGGUUGGGCAAGAGUUUGCAGACCACUUAGCAUGGGUGGCCUGGGUAUCCAUAACCUUGAAGUUCUUGGAUGGGCUUUAAAUCUAAGAUGACUUUGGCUCAAAAAAACUCAACCAGAAAGGCCCUGGGCAGAUUUCUUGUUCAAGGUUCAUUCCAAUGUCAAAGCUCUUUUCUCUGCCUCGGUCCACACUACAGUAGGUGAUGGCUCUCGAACCCUGUUCUGGACUGAUCGCUGGAUUCAUGGGCAAUCAAUAUCUGCCCUUGCCCCCACUUUGGUCAGCCAUAUUACAGUGAGAAUCAAGAAAAGCAGAUCUGUGCAAGAAGCCUUGGUAAACAAUAGAUGGGUUAAUGACAUAUCUGGCAGCCUGUCAGCCCAGAUUAUCAUCGACUUCUUAGUAAUUUGGGAUCUAGUGCAAGGUUUUCAGUUACAUCCGGGGAUUCCUGAUGUGCAUAGAUGGUCCCCGUCUGCAUCUGGAGAUUAUUCCACUAAAUUGGCAUAUGAUCGUUUUAUGGCUGGUUCAGUCUCUUUUGAGCCGGCUACUAGAAUUUGGAAAAGUUGGGCCCCCCCAAGGUGUAAAUUCUUCAUUUGGUUGGCUUCUCUAAAUCGUUGCUGGACAGCGGAUAGAUUAAGCAGACGAGGUCUUGAGCAUCCUGUAAGGUGCCCCCUUUGUGACCAGCAGGAGGAAACAGUUCAGCAUAUCUUAGUGGCUUGUGUGUUUGCCAGAGACACUUGGUGGCAGACUUUGCACAAGGUAGGGCUGCAUCGCUUGACUCCAGGAUUGGCAACAACGACCUUCCAAGACUGGUGGAGAGAAGCUGAGUGCCAGGUGCCAAAAAACCAGAAAAGAGGAUUUAAUUCCUUAGUGAUUCUGGUGGCUUGGUGGCUAUGGAAGCAUAGAAAUGAAUGUGUGUUUGAUGGUGCAUCCCCCAACAUCAGCAUCAUCAUGCAGCAUAUUCAUGAGGAUGUUGUUCGGUGGGGCUUGGCAGGGGCAAGAGAUCUUAGGAGAUUGUGGCCUUAGGUGCUGGUGGGGCUGGGGGUUGUUUGGAUACCCACCCCUUUUCUUCUUCUUUUUUCUGUCUUGAUCUAUUUUUUUGGCAGCUUGUACUGGGUCUAUUUUAGACCUCUAUCUCCUUUUUUCUUAAUAUAUAAGAUGCGCAGUUCUCCUGCACGUUCGAUAAAAAGUGUAACAUACUUUGUUGGGACUUUAUGAUUAUCUAAUACCCACCACAUGAGAUUCCUAGGUAUUCUAUCAUAGGCCUUUUCCAAGUCGAUAAAAACCAUGUGCAAGUCCUACUUCUCCUUAUACCGCUUCAUGACUUGUCUUAUUAAGAAAAUUGCUUCCAUGGUUGACCUUCCAGGCAUGAAUCCAAAUUGGUUCAUGGUGAUAUGCAUCAUUCCUCUCAGGCGAUGCUCAAUAACUCCCUCCCAUAACUUCACAAUGUGGCUCAUGAGCUUAAUCCAUCGAUAGUUGGUACAACUUUUAAUAUCUACCUUGUUCUUAAAGAUUCAACUAAUGUACUCCACUCAUCGGGCAUCUUGUUUGAUCGAAAAAUAUGGUUGAACAACUUGGUUAGCCAAACGGUAGCCAUAUCCCCAAGGCAGUUCCACACCUCUAUUGGGAUACCAUCCGGCCCAUCGUCUUGCUCCCUUUCAUCCUCUUUAAAGCUUCUUUGACCUCUGAUUCUUGGAUCCUGCGUACAAAGCAUCCAAUUGGGUGUCCAUAAUCUCAUUCCCACCAUUGAAAAGAUUGUCAAAAUAUCUUUGCCACCUCUGUUUGAUGUCUUGUCCUUUCACCAAGAGUUGAUCAUCUCAUCCUUAAUGCAUUUAACUUGGUUGAGGUCACUCGUCUUCCUUUCCCGAAUCCUAGCCAUCUUAUAAACGUCCUUUUCCCCUUCCUUUGUACUUAGUCUUCAGUAAAGAUCAUCAUAGGCUCGACCCUUUGCAUCACUCACAGCUCGCUUUGCAGUCUUCUUUGCCACCUUAUACCUCUCUAUGUUGACCGCGCUCCUGUCAUGGAACAAGCUUAUGUAACAUUGUUUCUUCUCCUUUAUUGCCUAUUGAAUGUCCUCGGUCCACCACCAAGUAUCUUUAGGUUCAUCUUUUCUCCCUUUGGUCACUCCAAACACCUCUGACGCCACCUUCCUGAUACAAGUUGCCAUCUUCACCCACAUGUUGUUUGCAUCUUCUUCUUCGGAUCAAGCGUCCUCCACAAAAACUAUUUCCCUAAAAAUUUCGGAUGUCUCCCUUUGAGUUUCCACCACUUUGUCCUCACAAUUUUGGCUUGUUUAUCCCUAUGGUUACGGAUUCGAAAACAGAAGUCAAUCACCACAAGAUUAUGUUGGGGCACAACACUCUCUCCAGGUAUCACCUUACAAUCCAAACAUGCUUGUUUAUCUUCUCUCCUUGUGAGAACGAAGUCGAUUUGACUCGAACGAUAGCCAAUGCUAAAAGUCACCAAAUGAGAAUCUCUCUUUCUGAAGAAAGUGUUGUCUAUCACUAGGUUGUAGGCUAUGAGAUGGUUGUGGCUUCAAAAGACAAUCCCUUCCAAACCGUGGGCUGGUAUAGAUCUCAAUAUUUCCUCAAAUGCUAAAUCCUUUUUUCAGACUGUUGUGUUUACAUAGGUUGGUAAUGGAGCCACAACCCUAUUUUGGAAAGGUAAGUGGAUUCAUGGGUGUUCUAUGGUUGAGGUAGCUCCUUCAGUGGUUGUUGCAGUUCUUAAAAAGUUUCAGAGCAUACAGACUGUCCAACAAGCCCUCCCUUCCUCCAACUGGGUCCAGGUAAUCAAGGGGAAUCUAUUUCUUGUUGGCUUAGAGGAAUUCUUGCAACUUUGGGACUUAUUACAAGAUUUUCAAUUGCAUGAGAGGCCCGACAGGCAUGUGUGGAGGUUCUCUAACUCCGGGGUGUUUUCCUCAAAGUCGGCUUACAGAGCUUUCUUCACUGGUGUUUUUUCUUUGAGCCGUGGAAAAGGAUCUGGAGAAGCUAGGUUGAGCCUAAGUGCAAGACUUUCAUUUGGCUCACUAUCAACAAGUGUUGGACAGCUGACAGACUAAAGAAGAGAGGGCUUGUCUCCCGUGAGAGCUGCGUCCUUUGUGAUCAAGAUGAUGAAACAAUGCAACAUAUUCUCUCCAAUUGUGUUUUUGCAAGACAAUUCUGGCACUCCAUCCUCUCCCCCAUUGGCCUUGCUACUAUUGUUCCCACUAAUAGUGAUGUUUGCUUUGAAGACUGGUGGAGAGAGGCCUCAUCCAAAAUCACUAAAGGGAAAUGGAAGAGAUUUAACAGUGUUGUUAUCCUUGGUGCUUGGAGUCUACGGAAACAUAGAAACAGAUGUGUCUUUGAUGGAGCUCGCCCUUCCCUGAACACUUUAGUGGACGGGUUCAAAGAGGAAUUGCACCUUUGGUCCCUGGCAGGUGCAAAAAACUUGAGAACCCUUUUUGAUCCCGGUUGAAGGAGGGGCUCCUGUGGGGCCGGUGUGUCUGGUGCCUGUUAAAGGGUGUGUCAGGUGUUUGGGUGCGUUAGAGGGUGUGUGUUUUGGGUGUGUUUCUUGUUUUUCUGCUCGGGCUCUAGCCCUUCUUUCUUCUAUCAAUAUGAUGAUACGCAGCUCUCCUGUGUUUUCGAGAAAAAAAAGUCCAAAAUAUCCUCUCCUUGAUUCAUACUACCAUACCCAAAACAUCCAUGGACCAGCUCAUAACCUGUAUUUGUUGAACCUACAUGACCAUUGGGAUCUCCUCCUAUGAAAAGCUUCUCAUUGGUGGGUACUGCUCUGACCAUGCCAUCUAAGUCUUCCCAGAACUUCCUCUUCUCGCUCUCGCUGAGACCAAACUGAGGGGCAUAUGCACUUAUAAUGUUCAAGACUACAUCCCCCAAAAUUAGUUUGAUUAGGAUAAUCCUGUCUCCCUACCUUUUGACAUCCACCACUCCAUCCUUGAGGGUCUUAUCAAUCAGAAUACUUGCUCCAUUUUUGUUUGCCAUUGUUCCUGAGUACCAAAGCUUGAAACCAGUGUUUUCCACCUCCUUCACUUUUUGCCCCUUCCAUUUUGUGUCCUGGACACAUAGGAUAUUAACAUGCCUCCUGCUCGCUGCAUCGAUUAACUCUCUUAGAUAGCAUUUGAUGUCUGAAAGCAAAAUUUUAAAUUGUUAUGCUAGAUUCAGCUCUUCAUUGGUCCUACUAUUAUAGUGAUGUAUCUUUUCUUUCCACGUAUUUGUUAUAUGUGCAUCUAAUCUUAUCGAUGAAAUUGGCAUUUUCCAGUGGAUUGAAAGAGAACUUGUGAGACUAGAAAGAAAGAUCGACAUUGCGCAUACGAAAGGGUUACGCAUAGAAUAUCCUUUGUAGACUGACGGUGAUGAUCAUGUAUUAGUAUAGUGUUUCAUUUUGGUAAUACCAUCUUCCUUUUAUAUUUCACUGUUAGUACUUAGUAGUACAUAUUCUUAGGACCAUUGAAGAAACUUUCCACGUGGUUUCCUUCCUUGACCCAUUCUUUUCUUACAAUGGUGGAACUACUGGACCAAAAGAUACUUUUAAACACGCCAGCUGAAAGACGGCGUCUUCUUGAAGAGGUUCCAGAAAUCGUUCCUGAUACAGAGUACAGAGAAAAGGAAACUGAACUCCAAGUUGCGGCAAGCAACUCUUCUCAAGAGAUUAGAGGGCGGCUAGUUAUAUUGAGUAACUGGAAUUCUGAAACCAUUCGAACACCAAAACCAUAAGAUCAUUUUGUCAUCUGGGUUGUGCUAGAUACUAAUAAUCUAGCAUGGUGAUGCCAAGAAACUCUGAUCAAUAGCAGUAAAUAAGCUCAUGAAGCCUGCGUCAGUGGUGGUGUCACUCCUGAUCCUGCACUAUAUUAUCAAAUGGACGAUACUCAAGAUGAUAGCCCGACUCAAGCCAUGAACAUUGACCAAGAUGAAUGUGACCACUCCCGGCAAGUUGCCAUGACAAGGAUUAAUGAAGCAGAAGUCAUCGAUCUAACCAGUGAUGACGAGGAGGAUCCUCGCACAGUGCAGCAUAAGCCAGAAGGCAAGGUCAUGCAUGAUCCAACUCCAUGGGCCAUGGAUGGGAUUCUUCAGCCGGAGCAGCGACAGCCAGCUCAUGCAGCCAUGAAUGGAAUUGUGCCCCCAGAGCAGCACAAGCCAGCACGUGCAGCAACGAACGGCGUGUCACCUUGGACGCUCCAAUGGCACUACAUAGACCCUCAAGGAGACACCCGAGGGCCAUUCUCGCUGGUGCACCUGUUGCAUUGGAAACGGGGGGGCUUCUUCGACGAGGGCUUCCGAGUGUGGAGGACGGGGCAGACUUCUGAGCAGGCUAUCUUGCUUAGAGAUGCCUUGUUGCAUCUGCAUCUGUAGCCUGCUUUCGUCAUCGAUGCAUUCUGGAUCUCGUUUCCGUAACCGGUUUGGACCUCAUGGACAUGGACUACCUCUAGUCACCUCGAGGCUCGAGUAAUGUGGAUGUACUCCCCCGUGGCCCUCGCCACACACACACCAAACGAACAAACAAAAAACACACAAUUUUAGAUUUGAAACUAGUCAAGCUUUCUUAAAUCAGAGUUUACUAGCCUUCUUAAAUCAGCCGGAUGUCCGCGGCCGCUAUUUUUAGUUUAGCUUUGUCCUACGAUUUAGGGCCUGUUUAGUUAGCUUUGUCUGAGAUUUUUUCUGAGAAUUUGGUUGUCGAGAAAACUCGAGUAUCAUGGAGAUUACGUGUUGAGAAAGAUAAAAGAGUACAUAGAAAGUGACGCUUUUCUACUGUCACAACGGCUCGACCAAUUCUGUAUUUAUUUUGAUUUUGGA